CUUGUGGCAGCUGUCUUCUCUGAACAGCAGUCUCGUGAACACCGGCCUCAGUACAAUGAAGAACCCAGAAUUGACAGCAGUGCACACCCAUCUGAGGCCGACCUGUUUUACUUUAUGAUCACCCCAGAUACUUCUACAACUAACCCGCUUUGUGUCUGAUGUUGAUGCAGCCUGGGCAC